CGUGCAUUCAGCUGAUACCAAGACCAGCGGCCACAGGGGAAGCAUGCGUUGAUGAUUCAGCUUGUUUUGUGCAACAGCAGCGUGAUGUGCAUCGUCGCUGCUUGGCUGCACGAAGUUCUGACCUAUCAGCUUAGGAUUGUGGUGUGGGGGACCACUGUGGCUGGCCAUUGCGAGAAUUAGGGCU
rnacentral:rRNA from 16 species